CGGCGACGCCGAGCGGAACCCGAAAGCCCUCCCAGUUCGGACCGGAGCCUGCAACCCGGCUCCGUGAAGUUGGAUUCGCUAGUAAUCGCGCAUCAGCCAUGGCGCGGUGAAUACGUUCCCGGGCCUUGUACACACCGCCCGUCAAGCCAUGGGAGCCGGGGGCGCCUGAAGUCCGGGACCGCGAGGACCGGCCUAGGGCGAAACUGGUAACUGGGGCUAAGUCGUAACAAGGUACC
rnacentral:rRNA from 1 species